rnacentral:rRNA from 1 species
ACUAACUAUAUCUUAUCAAAUCACUAUAAACAAAACACUUACAUAAAUACUUCUCUCCUACGCGACAAAUCCAAAGUACUAAAAAGGAACAAAUAAUAAUUUAAAGUAGUGACUCAAUCACGUACCUUGUGCAUUAUGGUUUUACAAGCACAUAAUUAAAAAUAAUAUCCCGAAUCCUACGCGAGCUGUUCUUAUAUAGCUGAGAGCUCACUACUAGUUAUGACAUCAACUUUAGAAAAUAUACUAACAGAGGCUACAUACCACACGCGCUAGAAAUUUGCUGGUUCCCAGUAAAACUUAUAAAUUAAAACAUGUAGUAACCUACACUGUCAGAUCAUAGAGGACAAGCCCUAUGAUCUAAAGCUAAACCACUGAUAAUAACAAUAAUAGGCCUAAAAACAGCCACUCUAAGUACUUUACCGUACAACAUAUAUAAUAAAUAAUAAACCUGCUCACAAAAGCUGAGAUUUAAGAAAAAUUCCCAACCUUAACAUAUUAUGUAAAAAUAAGUAUUAGAACUACUAAACAACCUCUCACCCACACAACCACUUAUAAAGGAACUCGGCAAACCCUUAUUUCGACUGUUUAACAAAAACAUUGCUUCUUGCCUCAUUAUAAGAAGU